ensembl:snoRNA
ACUGCCCCUAGAGGCAUUGCAAGUGUGACUGCCGUGUCACACAUGUGUCAGUAGGUGGCAGAGAGGAGAGAGGCUAUGCCUAUGCUCAGUGUUCUGACCAGGGAAUAUCUGAAUGAUUAGUAGCCUGAUAUUC